rnacentral:rRNA from 1 species
GUGAACGCUGGCGGUAGGCCUAACCCAUGCAAGUCGAACGGCAGCACAGUAAGAGCUUGCUCUUACGGGUGGCGAGUGGCGGACGGGUGAGGAAUACAUCGGAAUCUACUUUUUCGUGGGGGAUAACGUAGGGAAACUUACGCUAAUACCGCAUACGACCUACGGGUGAAAGCAGGGGAUCUUCGGACCUUGCGCGAUUGAAUGAGCCGAUGUCGGAUUAGCUAGUUGGCGGGGUAAAGGCCCACCAAGGCGACGAUCCGUAGCUGGUCUGAGAGGAUGAUCAGCCAACCGGGAACUGAAACACGGUCCAGACCCCUAGGGGAGGCCGAGGGGGGGAAAUUUGGACAAGGGGGGAAAGCCUAUCCCAGCCAUACCGGGUGGGGGAAGAAGGCCUUCGGGUUGUAAAGCCCUUUUGUUGGGAAAAAAAAACAGCAGGUUAAUACCCCGCUGUUCUGACGGUACCCAAAGAAUAAGCACCGGCUAACUUCGU